rnacentral:rRNA from 1 species
GAUGAACGCUGGCGGCGUGCCUAAUACAUGCAAGUCGAGCGAACAGACGAGGAGCUUGCUCCUCUGACGUUAGCGGCGGACGGGUGAGUAACACGUGGAUAACCUACCUAUAAGACUGGGAUAACUUCGGGAAACCGGAGCUAAUACCGGAUAAUAUAUUGAACCGCAUGGUUCAAUAGUGAAAGACGGUUUUGCUGUCACUUAAAGAUGGAUCCGCGCCGCAUUAGCUAGUUGGUAAGGUAACGGCUUACCAAGGCAACGAUGCGUAGCCGACCUGAGAGGGUGAUCGGCCACACUGGAACUGAGACACGGUCCAGACUCCUACGGGAGGCAGCAGUAGGGAAUCUUCCGCAAUGGGCGAAAGCUUGACGGAGCAACGCCGCGUGAGUGAUGAAGGUCUUCGGAUCGUAAAACUCUGUUAUUAGGGAAGAACAAAUGUGUAAGUAACUAUGCACGUCUUGACGGUACCUAAUCAGAAAGCCACGGCUAACUACGUG